CAUCCCUCCAGUUGGGGGAAAGAAAGCACCUGCUGUCCAUCCCUCCCUUCUAACCUGGGAGAAAGAAAUGUACUUUGAGGUGUGAGGAAGGGAGACAUACAACGCAGAGCAUUUGGAAAAACUGAAUGUUCUAUUUUUAUGUCAAGAUAAGACUAUUAAAACAGACAAGAAGAGGAGUAUUGUAAAACGAGAUGGACUUAAUCUCAUCGGAGCAGCAAAAUGCAUAAAACAUCGCUGUAGGAAAUACUCUGCUGCGCUGCUCAAAUGUAAACAAUUACAGCUUUAUUAACUGCUGCUUAACAUAUUUAGUAAGCAAAAUAAAGCAUGCCUAUGCUGAUGCCCUAUCCCUCAGUGCCAAUAUACCAAUAGAACAUUAUUAUAUAAUGUACUAUGCACCUAUUGCAAUGGCCUUUGGGCACCUUACAUACAUGAAAAAAUGAAUCAACCAUUAUUUACCACAUUGAUAUUAUUGGCAGAAAUAAUAGGCAUCUCUUACAAAGAAAAGCCAUCAAAUGGGAAAGCCUACACAGUCUCCACCCAAGAUGAAACAAAUGCUUGGUUAAAAAGAUGAAGACCUGGUUAAAAAGAUGAAGACCUGCAAAUUCAGGUUCUGGCAGAACACCCGAUGGACUGAGUUCCUUUGCUUGGAUCACUACACAAAGGGCAUCCUUUCUCCAGUUCUCAAGAGGUCAAAUUUAGGGAUGGUCAAUGGGACAGCUUCAGCUAAUCUCAGCUAUCAUGACGUUGCAUAGAUAAGCACGUCAACAAACAAUGCUAUGACCCAUUUCAGCACAAGAGCUACAGUGGAGACCAUGAGCAAACAGUUGCUAAACAUAACAAUUUAACAUUAAAAAUACUUAACCAACUAAUGCAAUAAAAAACAAAUUUACUAUAAACUCUUACACAAGUAGGGCACCAUCCAGACAGCUCUUGAAAACCCUGA